rnacentral:rRNA from 2 species
GACAGAGGUGCCGAGCGUUAGGCGGAAUCACUGGGCUUAAAGCGUGUGUAGGCGGAUGGGUAAGUACCUUGUGAAAUCCCACGGCUCAACCGUGGAACUGCUCGGUAUACUGCUCGUCUUGAGCCAACUAGGGGCGACCGGAACAAACGGUGGAGCGGUGAAAUGCGUAGAUAUCGUUUGGAACGCCGAUGGUGAAAACAGGUCGCUGGGGUUGUGCUGACGCUGAGACACGAAAGCCAGGGGAGCGAACGGG